GGAGGCGUCGCAUAGCGGUCGAGUGCACCGGUUUCGAAAACCGGCAAGGGGCAACCCUUCGUGAGUUCGAAUCUCACCGCCUCCG
rnacentral:tRNA from 1 species